rnacentral:rRNA from 1 species
UACGUAGGGUGCAAGCGUUGUCCGGAAUUACUGGGUUUAAAGGGUGCGUAGGCGGGUCUAUAAGUCAGCGGUAAAAUAUUCAGGCUCAAAUUGGGUUGUGCCGUUGAUACUGUAGGUCUUGAGAAAAGAUAACGAAGCCGGAAUUCAUGGUGUAGCGGUGAAAUGCAUAGAUACCAUGAGGAACACCGAUAGCGUAGGCAGGUUUCGGGUCUUUAUCUGACGCUGAUGCACGACAGCAUGGGGAUCAAACAGGAUUAGAUACCCUGGUAGUCCAUGCCGUAAACGAUGGAUACUCGGUGUGUGUAUGUAAAAGAUAUGCGUGCCUAAGGGAAACCGAUAAGUAUCCCACCUGGGGAGUACGCUCGCAAGGGUGAA